GAUGAACGCUGGCGGCGUGCCUAAUACAUGCAAGUCGAGCGAACAGACGAGGAGCUUGCUCCUCUGACGUUAGCGGCGGACGGGUGAGUAACACGUGGAUAACCUACCUAUAAGACUGGGAUAACUUCGGGAAACCGUAGCUAAUACCGGAUAAUAUAGUGAACCGCAUGGUUCAAUAGUGAAAGACGGUUUUGCUGUCACUUAUAGAUGGAUCCGCGCCGCAUUAGCUAGUUGGUAAGGUAACGGCUUACCAAGGCAACGAUGCGUAGCUGACCUGAGAGGGUGAUCGGCCACACUGGAACUGAGACACGGUCCAGACUCCUACGGGAGGCAGCAGUAGGGAAUCUUCCGCAAUGGGCGAAAGCCUGACGGAGCAACGCCGCGUGAGUGAUGAAGGUCUUCGGAUCGUAAAACUCUGUUAUUAGGGAAGAACAAAUGUGUAAGUAACUAUGCACGUCUUGACGGUACCUAAUCAGAAAGCCACGGCUAACUACGUG
rnacentral:rRNA from 1 species